GCAUUGGUGGUUUAGUGGUAGAAUUCUCGCCUCCCACACAGGAGACCCGGGACCGAUUCCCGGCCAACGCA
rfam:Danio rerio chromosome 4, GRCz11 reference primary assembly.